CACAUCAUAGAGCUUGGACAUUAGUGCCCUGUCAGGAGAGGGAGGGAAACUGAGUGGGAGUGCAGGCACAUCCCACAGCUCUAGAAAAGGAUGAUCAGAACAACAGAGAAGACAGAUCUCUGCACCUUACAACCCCAUCCUUUUUGGGAUGGCAUAACUGGAGCCUUCCCAAAAAACCUUUAGGAAUGCUUCUCUUUAAGACAAGACUAGUUUGUCUCCUGUCCAGACCUGUACAAAUUCAAAUAUAAUAUUAAUCCUUUUAGAACUAA